AGGCGUGGUGGCGGGCGCCUGUGAUCCCAGCUACUCGGGAGGCUGAGGCAGGAGAACUGCUUGAACCCAGGAGGCAGAGGUUGCAGUGAGC
ensembl:miRNA